rnacentral:rRNA from 1 species
UGGCUCGGGGUUAGGGCGGGGCGGCCUAUAAAAACUGCUGAGUCUCGGUCGGGUGCUCUGCGGGCGGGCGGGCUGGGCGAUGGCGGCGCGGCGUGGAGUGGAUGGGCAUUGAGCAACUCGGUGUCGGUGGAGGGAGGGGCGACGUGACGUGGCUCGCCGGGCAGACCGGCGGAGGCGAAAGAUAUAUUGCCGGCCGGCCCCAGGAGCGCUCAACAGGCAGAGGAGGGGACGUUGAUCAUGCGACGGUGCGUCCUCGUCUCGUCUUAGGCCAUCGGUCUAGCUUGCGGGGCGGGAGAGAGGGAGGGAGCGGGGGAAGGCUCGGGCAGCGGUACCGCGGCGGGGCGCAGCCGGACGAGGAGCGGGAGCGGAACACGGAGCGCAAGCGCGCACGGCUGCGCCGGCACUCCCUGGAGUUCCAGCCCAUGAUGCGCGUCUGCACGGGGGCGCGCCUCCUCUAGCACGCGGCGCAGUACCGGGCGCGCGAGCGCGCGCUCCGGGCGUCGCAGCGGAGGCAGUACGCAGAGGUCAAGGUGCUGACGAAGCAGUUGCCUACGCUGCCCAGCCACGACUACCUGCGCUGCGGCUGCUACCGCCCCCUCUUCCUCCGCGAGAGGUUGUAGUUGAGGGAGGCGAGGAAGCUCCAGCACCUGCUCCAGUUCUCGCGGGAGCUCCUCGUCACGGGGCCGUAGCAGAGGACGCGGCUGUAGUAGUAGUACCGGCGGGCGCUGCGGCAGCACGACCAUGCAUGCGGAGGAAGAGGGGGGCGGGGCCCGACGAGCGCAUUAGGCACGGCACGGCACGGGGCGUCGGCGCCGCGUCUAAGAGGGAACGAAAAGCAGCAAGUGCUCUGCUCUGCCCCUGCUCCGGCUACGCCCCAAGGUAACAAGGUAAGGUAACGACCGCAAAGGACACGUUAAUUAACGUAGGGGCCGGCUGGACGGCCACCAAAGCCAAGGUCUUAGGUCUGAGGUCUCCGGGCCAGAAAGUUUUACCUUUUCCCCCCUCUUUGACUCGCUUUGGACCCCAGUUUUAACGGAAUUAAUUAAAGGAAAAACAGGUGAUCAUAUCCUCAUGAAGUCACGUCACGCAUAGUCACGACACGGUAAUUAAAAACCGUUAAGACAAACCACGAACCGACCGUUGUGAUCAGUAGCAGCAGCGUUCGGCGGAUGGACACCAGUCGCAGAGAGCGUGCGUGGCAGAAGAGGAACGGAAAUUUUUUUUUAGGACGUGUAGGUGAAGCAAGCUUCGAGGAUGUGACAACUGCCGUGUUGCUCGCUAGCUCUUAGCGAAUAGAAGCGUGACUGAAAAUAAGCCAUUGUUGAACGUCAUAAACCCUUCAACCUCAUCAUCACAAUUUUAUCGUUGGUUCUUUGCGUCUUAAUCAAAAACGGUCUUUACAAGCAUCCGUCGUACAAUUACAGGGGAAGAAUUACAAAAGACUUUAACACUCAGCAUUUACAAAGGUUUCUUUUGGCCUACGCGCUACGAAACUGUCCCUGCCCGCGUACCCGCGCGGAUGGGAACGAGGGGCAUUGGUUUGGUGGUGUGACUUGAUCUUAGCCCGAUCUUACCGCAGUCGCAGUGGGGGGCGCAGGUAGGACGGCACGGAUCUGUUGCAACGUGCUGAGGAUCCGUCCGCGUAAAUUGCUCCGGCCUUUGCCGGUCCGCUCCACCGGAGCGGACGCCUUCCCGGCUGCCGGGGUCGAUGUCCAUAUCAUUGGGACCUGCAGAGACACGGCUGUCCGCAUGGGGCAGGCCACGACAGUUUGUCCAGGGACGCGGUUCUUGCUGCUCCCUGUUCUCAUCCUAUCGUACCCCGACCCGGAGCACGCACCGACCAGGUGCGCUCUAGGAAACGGAGGAGACAGAGAGUGUGUGCAAGACAGCCUAGUCUUAGUCUGCUAUUACGACGGCGACGACGUUACCUCUAGCAAAAUCAUGAAGCGGACGAGGAAGCAACAAAACGCGCGCACAGCACAGCGACACGGUCGGUGCGCAAGCAGAAGAGUGACUCUAAGUAGGCCCACAAACUAACCAAGUCCGGUACCUGGAUUAUAAACAAAAGUCGCAUAAAAUCGAGACAAAGGUAAAACAGCCAACGAUGCAAGAGCCAUCCUCAUCGUAUCUCGACUAUCUCCCCAGCUAAGUAGUUCAUGUCAUUCGUGAUAAACCAGAACUAAAGUAAUAUAAAAUCGUGGUUAAUUUGAACAAAGUCUUUCACUUUUUACGUCCUCAAUCGUCCAAUUGAACCGUCCAAAACUAACUAUAUUAAUGAGGUGUUAUGUUGUAGUUGUUGUUGUUAUCUUGAAGUUUUUUUUGUUAUCUCAGUUAUAAAACUGUACCAAACUGAGACUUAACAAAUAAAGGAGAAGAGCGUCUGACCACCUGGGUUGACCCUGCACUCCGAGCCCGCCCUCCUGUCAGACUGCCGCUCGGUCCUCCUGAGCCUGUUGUAGUACGGCUCGGGCGCGCGGUUGCGCUCGCGCGAGUAGGCGGAGAAGCGGCCGAUGUUCGAGUGGCAGUGGCUGGAGCAGCGCGAUAGGCCGAGCGUGAGGCAGCCGCUCCGGGCGACGAAGAGGUAGCAGAAGGCGGAGAUGUUGGUCAGCCCGAGGCCGGCGGGGCUGGGGGUGUACCUGGGCCGGAUGGCGGUCCGCGAGCUGCGCGAGACGGGGGAGUGGCCGCUGGUCUUGCAGUGGCCGCCGGACCUGCGGUGGGGCCAGCAGAAGCUGUUGGUCAUGAAGUUCCUGGACCAGGUGGAGGCGCCGAAGGACUUGAGGCUGGUCUGCGAGAAGAGGCUGUUGCUCCCCUGGGCCGCCCACCACUGCGUCAAGUCGGUCUUGGUCCUGCGGAAGAAGUCCCGGAAGUAGCUCCCCUACCAGUUCGACCCGCUCGAGGUCUUGGGGUCCUUCCCCCUCUAGGCCGCGUUGACGGCGCAGCGGUUGCCGCCCGCCGGCGGCGACCUCUUCGUCCAGCGCGGCAAGGCCCACCACCUGAAGACUUGGACCAAGAUGCCAUCCGGACAUCCACAGAGUGCCCUCGAGACCACACCCUCGCUAGGUAUACGAACUGUAUCCAAACCAGCACAGCGUCAAGACACGGAUGGGUUCUUACCAAAGUCCAGACCGAGACGAAUAACGAUUAACAACUCCUUAUUAUCUCUUUAGCUACGGAGACCAUGAAACUAACGGUACCCGACGUAAUUCCAAACGAAGAAACAACUAAGAGGUUUAUAAUCGAUCGCUAUCACGUUCUACGAAUCUCUCUACGAA